GACAGAGGGGGCAAGCGUUGCUCGGAAUCACUGGGCGUAAAGGGCGCGUAGGCGGGAUGGCAAGUCGGUCGUGAAAUCCUUCGGCUCAACCGAAGAACGUCGGCCGAUACUGCCGUUCUUGAGGGAUGCAGAGGAGAUUGGAAUUCCCGGUGUAGCGGUGAAAUGUGUAGAGAUCGGGAGGAACACCGGUGGCGAAGGCGGGUCUCUGGGCAUCUCCUGACGCUGAGGAGCGAAAGCCAGGGGAGCAAACGGG
rnacentral:rRNA from 1 species